GUAGUGUAUAAAAUGUUAAAUUUGAAUUUGUUUCGCUGGGGCGGCGUGGAUAUAUAAAUAAACUGUCUAUACAUUAAAACCAGUAAUUAUUGAUUAAUGAAAUUGAUCCUUAAAAAGAUUAAAAGAUUAAGAUACCAUAGGGAUAACAGCGA
rnacentral:rRNA from 1 species